UUUUAACACCUUUUAAAAUCACUUGUAAAUGUUUUAAAACCUUUUUAAAACAAUUUUAAACCCUUGUAAAAAUCUAUAAAAAGACUUUGUAAAUCUUUUAAAGCCCUUUAAAAUCCCUUGUAAAUCUUUUAAAACCCUUGUGAAUCUUUUCAAACCCUUUUAAAAUCCCUUGUAAAUCUCUUAAAACCUUUUUAAAAUCCCUUGUAAAUCUAUUUCCCGCAAAAAAAAAAUUUCUUGCGGGA
rnacentral:sRNA from 1 species